rnacentral:rRNA from 1 species
GGAAAGGCGCGCGAUACAGGGUGACAGCCCCGUACACAAAAAUGCACAUGCUGUGAGCUCGAUGAGUAGGGCGGGACACGUGGUAUCCUGUCUGAAUAUGGGGGGACCAUCCUCCAAGGCUAAAUACUCCUGACUGACCGAUAGUGAACCAGUACCGUGAGGGAAAGGCGAAAAGAACCCCGGCGAGGGGAGUGAAAAAGAACCUGAAACCGUGUACGUACAAGCAGUGGGAGCACGCUUAGGCGUGUGACUGCGUACCUUUUGUAUAAUGGGUCAGCGACUUAUAUUCUGUAGCAAGGUUAACCGAAUAGGGGAGCCGAAGGGAAACCGAGUCUUAACUGGGCGUUAAGUUGCAGGGUAUAGACCCGAAACCCGGUGAUCUAGCCAUGGGCAGGUUGAAGGUUGGGUAACACUAACUGGAGGACCGAACCGACUAAUGUUGAAAAAUUAGCGGAUGACUUGUGGCUGGGGGUGAAAGGCCAAUCAAACCGGGAGAUAGCUGGUUCUCCCCGAAAGCUAUUUAGGUAGCGCCUCGUGAAUUCAUCUCCGGGGGUAGAGCACUGUUUCGGCAAGGGGGUCAUCCCGACUUACCAACCCGAUGCAAACUGCGAAUACCGGAGAAUGUUAUCACGGGAGACACACGGCGGGUGCUAACGUCCGUCGUGAAGAGGGAAACAACCCAGACCGCCAGCUAAGGUCCCAAAGUCAUGGUUAAGUGGGAAACGAUGUGGGAAGGCCCAGACAGCCAGGAUGUUGGCUUAGAAGCAGCCAUCAUUUAAAGAAAGCGUAAUAGCUCACUGGUCGAGUCGGCCUGCGCGGAAGAUGUAACGGGGCUAAACCAUGCACCGAAGCUGCGG